GACGAACGCUGGCGGCGUGCUUAACACAUGCAAGUCGAACGGAAAGGCCCUGCUUUUGUGGGGUGCUCGAGUGGCGAACGGGUGAGUAACACGUGAGUAACCUGCCCUUGACUUUGGGAUAACUUCAGGAAACUGGGGCUAAUACCGGAUAGGAGCUCCUGCUGCAUGGUGGGGGUUGGAAAGUUUCGGCGGUUGGGGAUGGACUCGCGGCUUAUCAGCUUGUUGGUGGGGUAGUGGCUUACCAAGGCUUUGACGGGUGGCCGGCCUGAGAGGGUGACCGGCCACAUUGGGACUGAGAUACGGCCCAGACUCCUACGGGAGGCAGCAGUGGGGAAUAUUGCACAAUGGGCGGAAGCCUGAUGCAGCAACGCCGCGUGCGGGAUGGCGGCCUUCGGGUUGUAAACCGCUUUCGCCUGUGACGAAGCGUGAGUGACGGUAAUGGGUAAAGAAGCACCGGCUAACUACGUG
rnacentral:rRNA from 1 species